CUUGUCGUGAAAGUCAACACAUAUAUUAACAUCAGGCAAACAUUUUAGCCACAAUAUUUUGUGAUGCAUUGCAAAUACUAUAUCACGGCUUACGUUGUGUCAUUGGCUUGAAAAGGACAUAAAGGGGACAAGUUCACAAAGGCCAUGACUACCGCAAACGGUGAAGAAUCAUCAAGGAAAAUCUCAAAAGAUGCCUUACCUAGAUCAACGAAACCGGAAAGGAAACAUCUUUUUGUUGCAGCUAUUGAUUUUGGAACUACAUUUACUGGAUAUGCAUUUUCGACCAAUAUACUUCUGGACGAUCCAAUCAACUGCAGCAUUUAUCAGACAGAAGGCUUAAGGAGUGAAAAAGGUCCAACGUGCGUUCUUCUUAAUCCAGACGAAACCUUCAGUGCAUUUGGAUACGAUGCAGGAAUAAAAUAUGUGGCAAUGUGUCAAAAUGAUGAUAAAGAAAAAUAUUACUUCUUUCAGCGCUUCAAAAUGAGCCUCUACAAAAACAAGAAACUUUCUCGUGAAACGAAGAUAAAAGACCUGAACGGUAAAGAGCUCCUAGCAAUAGAUGUUUUCUCAAAAGUGAUUAAGCACCUUUCAGAAGAACUUUACAAACAGCUGAAAAAAAGUAUGACGGGAGUUUCCUCAGAUGAUGUGUUGUGGGUUAUUACUAUUCCGGCAAUCUGGUCAGACGCGGCUAAGCAGUUCAUGCGAGAAGCAGCAAAUAAGCUGACAUCUUAUAGAGUCACGCUCGAGUCCAUUCCUGGGAGGAAACAGUACUGAUGUACGUUUUGAGACGUCAUGAGAAAGAUCCCCUUUGUGAGGAUCAAACUCACAAUCUCUUAGAUGAAAGACUGACACGUAUACCAUUAGACUAUUCUUGCCUUUAUUUUUGAAGGCUGAAAUUGAUGACGAAGACCUUAAACUUAUUUUGGAACCAGAGGCUGCGUCUCUUUUCUGCAACAUGCAAAAAUUAAAUAAAAUUGUUAAGCUAGACGGAACAGUGGCAAUGGAACAAUUUCCUGUCGGACUUAGAUAUAUUGUUGCUGAUUUAGGCGGGGGAACAGCUGAUUUAGCAGUACAUGAAGUUCUAGAGGAUCACAAUUUGAGAGAGAUUGCAAGGUCAGAUGGCACCGCAUACGGAGGCAUUUUGGUGGACAAGGCGUUUCAAGAAUUUAUCUCUGAUUUUUUUUGACUGAACGUGGUACAGCACUUACUUGAAACGCAAACAGAUGCAUAUAUGGAGAUUCAGGAAUCAUUUGAAGUAAAGAAACGUACCUUUCAAAACGGUACGAUUGUUUUCAAAUUGCCCGUUAUGGAAUUAAAAGAUGCAUUCGAAGCUUGCGAGGUUUCUUAUGACGAUGCAAUUCGUGAAGCCAAUGCAAAGUACACAGGAAAGGCUGAAUAUAUGCGGAAUGGUAAGUUAAAAAUUUCAGCUGACAUCAUGAAAGGUUUUUUUGACAAGGCAGUUGAUGGUAUUGUCAGGUUCAUCCAACAGAUGCGCUCAGACGAUGAGCUUGGCUUGAUCAACACCGUUUUGAUGGUCUGUGGAUUCUCGGAAUCGAAAUACAUCCAAGAACGCAUUGAAAAUGAAAUACCUGGAGUAAGGCUCGUCGUUCCUACCGAUCCCGGACUGGCUGUUUUAAAAGGUGCGGUUUUGUAUGGGAAAAAACCACGAGCUAUAACAGAAAGAAUAGCAAGAUUCUCCUAUGGGUUUUCCAUUGCUAGACCUUUCCGGGACGGAAUAGAUCCGGAAGAACUUAAAAUAAAAAAGAAUGGAAAGAACCUCUGCACUGAGAUUUUCAAAAAAUUAAUAACACGGGGAGAAAUUCUAAAGAAAGGAGAUGUGUUCGACGAUAUUGCAUGAUAUACUAUUAUUACCGAUACCUUCUUGAGCCUCAUGUUAUCAUCAAAGCUUCCAGUAGUGGCACAAGUUUAUAAAUCAACAAAAAAGGAUCCAAAGUACACCACCGCAGACGAAGAGUGUGAGGAAAUAGGAAAUCUGAUAAUACGUCCACCACCUACAGGGUGGCCUCUUUUCAGCGCUCUUGCUUAUGGAAUCAUUGUCCGUGAAAGUGAACUGCAUUCCUUUGCACGCAACGUUGAAACGAAGGAAAUAUACGAGGCAAAGUUUGACUGCCUCUAAAGUGUCUAAAAGAAGAAGAUAAAAAACUGGGCAAGCGGACAAUAUAAGUUUAACGAUUGUAUAACAAAAAUGAAUGUCAAUAUUUUAAAAGUAACAUUUUGUCUAUAAGUCUCUUUACUCGCUGUUUAAACUACGCCUGAAUUGUAGUCUUAACUGAUGAUGAUGAUGAUGAUGAUGAUGAUGAUGAUGAUGAUAUACAUUCAUUUGCAUGGAAAAUGAAACUAUUUAGUCAUGCAGAGUGAUGUUGACUUUCUAGGACGAAUUUGAUAGAAAUAAAUUUGAAAAUGUUCCGAAAAGUGAACAGUCGAUAAAAGUUACGUUCAGAGUGUUAAUAAAAAUAUGAAAGCAAAGAAAAAAAUAAAUUGCAAUAGCUAUUGCUAAAUAACUGUUAUACAAAAUUAUUGUUCUAUUAACUUAUUUCAGCGUCGAGUUAUUGGCCGUUUACAAACUAAAUUAAUUUUUAUUAAUUAGAUUUGUUCUAAUUUAAUUGUUACUCGCUUUGCUGAUUAAUUAUGUUAAUGUACUUCUCCACCAAAUUAAACUGGAAUAAAUAUGGGUUUUUGCGAUAAUAUCAAUAACUCGAUAAAUUCCAAUACGGAACAGAAGUGAUGCGUGAGGGGUAGUCAUAGCGAUAUUUUCUUUAUAUUAUAUAUAACAUGUGUGGCCUGUUUGGAAACAUUUCAAUAGUUCCUUAUACAGUGUGUGUAUACCACCUGAUAAAAUGCUACGUCGGAAGGCAAUAUUUUGCUUCAAAUGAAGACUUUAAACAAAGAUAACUUCACUAUUUCUUCACCAUUUUAAAUGAAACAUAGCGCAGUCUACGCCGCUUACGGAGCCCUACCUCCAGUCGUUUACCAGAGUUUGAUUGAGAGUUUAGUUUCUUUAAACACUUCGACAAACCUUUUUACAAUACGGAAUGGUAAAGGUAAAAUGGUGUAGUAAAAGAAAAGAUAUCUUUGUUUUAAGUCUUUAUCUUAAGCAAAAUGAUGCUUUCUGACGUAGCAUAUAUGACGUUGUUUAUCACGUGGUAUACACACACUGUCAUAGCUUUAUGUGUGUUAAAAUGAAUAAAAAAAUCAUGAUGUAUUUAGUUCAUGAUUACAAUUAAACUAUGGGUUGUGUAAACCUGGUAUCACACCUUUUCAUCAGCUCACUUUACUCAUGCAGAUUGUUUAAGCAGAUUGUUCAUAAUUUGAUGAUAAAGUGCAUGUGGUAAUUAUUGAUCUAGUGUAUUCUCUAAUUAUAGAAUAUUUGCUUUUGUAAAUAAUGUAAUGUAAACUGUUUCUUAUAAAAGCUGGCUGUCAUUGAAUCAAUAUACAUUUAAAAGUACUACUAAU